GGGAUGGUACUUUAUUGUUACAGCUAUUCUACGAUAAGUUUGUGUUUCAAGGAAUAGUUUAUAGAGAAUCCCAGCU
rnacentral:tRNA from 1 species